GAGACUUCUGUUACAUUGUGAUGUAUGCCUUGUUUUGCAGUCCUUUUUAGACUAUUGAAAGAGCUGGUAGAUGUCCUUUUCAGAGUCUGGUCUCAACAUCUUAAUUGCAAUAUAAUUAAAUUACAUCUGUACGUGAUGUACUUAUCAACAUAAGGAGAUCCAGGCAGUCUGCAAAGUGCUACUAAAUGUAGCAGGGAAAAUCUUCCCUGUGCUUGACAGCAUGAAUCACUUCAUAUUUGUGUGUGAUUCAUCAGUGGUCAGUUCUGUUUUGACAGUUCGGGUGUUGCAACUGACGCUGUAGGACCUUCUCAUCACUGAAAGCUAUAGGCUGGUUUCCUUUUGGAUUUUGAAUACUUGGGUACUUCCAGCGAUGUCUGCCUUUGAUGUCAUUAAUGGUGUCAGUCCUGGGAUGAAAAACAAGCGCUAGAAACUUCUUCUAUCUUACUUGAUGGUAUGGUUUUGUGUAUACAGUUCACUCUGCUCGUGGACAUCAUGGAACUUCACAGAAUUAAGGUGUUGGAUCCUCUCAAAGACGGAAGCAAUUAGAGGUGGAGGAGGAUGCUGAAGCACUUUAGGUGCUACCAGAUAUCAGGAAGUUGUUGUUACCCAGUCUCUUGGGAGGGAGUUGAGGGACAUCGAGCUGAGCAUCCAACCAAGCAGGAGGGCAGGUCUUUACAACUCGGCUGUUAUCGCUGCAUCACCCUGUGGAACAACUGGGCAUAA
rnacentral:lncRNA from 1 species